AUCUGCAGAUCCCCUCGGUCAGGGGCUGCCCCGCCUGGGCUGUUCGGAGCAGCUCCUCUGUAGGGCAGGGCCUGACCUCACCCCACACCCCAGUGGCUUCAGCUCCCUGCCCAGCGCACGGGCUGCCUCCAUCAGGGCACUUAAGUAGAGUCAAGGUUUGCGCCGACUCCGUCUCCCAGAAAUCAACGUGGACCAGGCCCACUUAAAAAAUAUGCAUUAGUCGAAGACAGACGUCUCGUCCAUAGGUCCCCAGACUGUUUGUCCACAACGCAGGGCUUCUCUUUGUGGGCCUGAAGGAGCACACGUCAGGCAAGACACGAGGGCAACUUCAGAGACACUGUUCAGGGCCACGGAGAAUUCUCGAAGUCUGACUCCAGUCCCCGCAACACUCCAUCUUCCAGAGAUCUCCAGGGGUCCAGAAAUAACACCUCACAGCCUUCCAAGCUUCCCAAGGAUCCGGAGACUCCUUAUCUCGCAGCGCAAACCUCAGGCAACUACAGGUCCUCCCUGCACCUUUGAGGUGCCCCUCCCCCCACUCAAGGUUCCAGAAAAAUCCAUGCCCUCGGAAACCCCAGAAUCUUACUUUCCCGAGGCACCCCAGGACCCCAGGGUCAUCAGUUCACAGGGCUGUUAGUGCUCCCAUAAAACUCUAGCCUCCCAGAGGGACCCCAGCCCCCACCCUCCCGCCCACGAACCCCUGCAUUUCCAGAAUCAGCCCCAGGGCCCCAACCCCCCCAAGCCCCCAUUUCACAACACGCUGGCGCUACAGGCGCGUGACUUCCCCUUGCUUUGGGGCGGGGGGCUGAGACUCCUAUGUGCUCCGGAUUGGUCAGGCACGGCCUUCGGCCCCGCCUCCUGCCACCGCAGAUUGGCCGCUAGCCCUCCCCGAGCGCCCUGCCUCCGAGGGCCGGCGCACCAUAAAAGAAGCCGCCCUAGCCACGUCCCCUCGCAGUUCGGCGGUCCCGCGGGUCUGUCUCUUGCUUCAACAGUGUUUGGACGGAACAGAUCCGGGGACUCUCUUCCAGCCUCCGACCGCCCUCCGAU
rnacentral:lncRNA from 1 species